rnacentral:rRNA from 1 species
CAGGACGAACGCUGGCGGCGUGCCUAACACAUGCAAGUCGAGCGGAGAAUGCGGAUAUGUUUACAUAGAAGCGUCUUAGCGGCGGACGGGUGAGUAACACGUGGGUAACCUGCCCCAAAGUGGGGGAUAGCCUUCCGAAAGGAAGAUUAAUACCGCAUAAGCCUACAGUAUCGCAUGGUACAGCAGGAAAAGGAGCAAUCCGCUUUGAGAUGGACCCGCGGCGCAUUAGCUAGUUGGCGAGGUAACGGCUCACCAAGGCGACGAUGCGUAGCCGACCUGAGAGGGUGAUCGGCCACAUUGGAACUGAGACACGGUCCAGACUCCUACGGGAGGCAGCAGUGGGGAAUAUUGCACAAUGGGCGAAAGCCUGAUGCAGCCAACGCCGCGUGAGUGAUGAAGGCCUUCGGGUCGUAAAGCUCUUUGAUCAGGGAUGAUAAUGACAGUACCUGAAAAACAAGCCACGGCUAACUACGUGCCAGCAGCAGC